GAUUCCCUUAGUAACGGCGAGCGAAAAGGGAAAUGUCCAGCACCAAGUCUUGACAUCUACGGUGUUCAAGAGAUGCGGUGUUAAUGUAUCGACCCAUCGUGCACUGUUCCACAUUUCAAGUUCCUACGACCGGGACUUCCAGAGCGGGUGUAAGACCCAUAGAGAUGAGGAACCAGUGUAUGCUGAGCGAUGCAUUCUAGAGUCAGGUUGCUUGAGAGUGCAGCUUAAAGUCGGUGGUAAACUCCAUCCAAGACUAAAUAUUACAGCGAGACCGAUAGCAAACAAGUACCGUGAGGGAAAGUUGCAAAGCACUUUGAAGAGAGAGUUCAAAAGUACGUGAAACCACUGGGAGGCAAACAGAUGGAACCACGAAGUGUGCGCCUCGGUCGAUUCAAUCAUCACCAUUUGUCAGUUUUUGGCAAUUAGGAUCUUUUCGGAGAUUGAUUUCCAAGAACUAUGAUGAAUGGUGUUGGUGCAUUUCGUGCCGAGGAUGCUAAGCCACGUUCAACUAGAGUUGGGACGGCUGUAAGAAAGAAUCCGAGAAAGGUGCCCGUCACGUGCUUGCAUUUGACGGUGUUAUAGUCUUGGAUUGGCACCGUCACCUAACAUACUGGUUGAUGCAAAUUCUCCAUUUGGAGUUGAACCAUGUCUGCCUGUGGCUGUUAGUCGAUGUUGCGUAAUGUUCUUUGCGUAUCUUUCGAUGCGAAAAGACUUUGCAAAGAUGUCGGCUAAUGGUUGCUUGCGUGGCGUGGUGGAACUGUGGCGCGAGUAGGUCGGUCUCCAUCUGACCCGUCUUGAAACACGGACCAAGGAGCCUAUCAUAUACGCGAGUCGCACGGUCUUGUUUAGGCCAGUGAGGCGUAAUGAAAGUAAAGUUACGAGGYUUCGGCUGCAGUAACGGCUCGCCCACUUUGUUUAUUGGCAAUAUGGCGAAGCUGGAGCGUAUACGAUGGUACCCGAAAGAUGGUGAACUAUGCCUGGGCAAGACGAAGCCAGAGGAAACUCUGGUGGAGGUCUGUAGCGAUUCUGACGUGCAAAUCGAUCGUCAGACCUGGGUAUAGGGGCGAAAGACUAAUCGAACCAUCUAGUAGCUGGUUCCCUCCGAAGUUUCCCUCAGGAUAGCAGGCGUUUUUCAGGGUAGUCUCAUCCGGUAAAGCUAAUGAUUAGAGGUCUUGGGGUUGAAACGACCUCAACCUAUUCUCAAACUUUAAAUGGGUGAGAUGGUUGACUUUCUUGAUUGAAGCCAACCAUUUGGAUGCAAAUGCCUAGUGGGCCAUUUUUGGUAAGCAGAACUGGCGCUGUGGGAUGAACCAAACGUCGAGAUAAGGCAUCAAAUGCGUACGCUCAUCAGACCCCAUGAAAGGUGUUGGUUGCUAUAGACAGCAGGACGGUGGCCAUGGAAGUCGGAAUCC
rnacentral:rRNA from 1 species